GAUGGCCAGGCUGUCUCCACCCGAGACUCAGUGAAAUUGAACUCGCUGUGAAGAUGCAGUGUACCCGCGGCAAGACGGAAAGACCCCGUGAACCUUUACUAUAGCUUGACACUGAACAUUGAGCCUUGAUGUGUAGGAUAGGUGGGAGGCUUUGAAGCGUGGACGCCAGUCUGCGUGGAGCCGACCUUGAAAUACCACCCUUUAAUGUUUGAUGUUCUAACGUGGACCCGUUACCCGGGUUGCGGACAGUGUCUGGUGGGUAGUUUGACUGGGGCGGUCUCCUCCUAAAGAGUAACGGAGGAGCACGAAGGUUGGCUAAUCCUGGUCGGACAUCAGGAGGUUAGUGCAAUGGCAUAAGCCAGCUUGACUGCGAGCGUGACGGCGCGAGCAGGUGCGAAAGCAGGUCAUAGUGAUCCGGUGGUUCUGAAUGGAAGGGCCAUCGCUCAACGGAUAAAAGGUACUCCGGGGAUAACAGGCUGAUACCGCCCAAGAGUUCAUAUCGACGGCGGUGUUUGGCACCUCGAUGUCGGCUCAUCACAUCCUGGGGCUGAAGUAGGUCCCAAGGGUAUGGCUGUUCGCCAUUUAAAGUGGUACGCGAGCUGGGUUUAGAACGUCGUGAGACAGUUCGGUCCCUAUCUGCCGUGGGCGCUGGAGAACUGAGGGGGGCUGCUCCUAGUACGAGAGGACCGGAGUGGACGCAUCACUGGUGUUCGGGUUGUCAUGCCAAUGGCACUGCCCGGUAGCUAAAUGCGGAAGAGAUAAGUGCUGAAAGCAUCUAAGCACGAAACUUGCCCCGAGAUGAGUUCUCCCUGAGACUUAGAGUCUCCUGAAGGAACGUUGAAGACGACGACGUUGAUAGGCCGGGUGUGUAAGCGCAGCGAUGCGUUGAGCUAACCGGUACUAAUGAACCGUGAGGCUUAACCUUACAACGCCGAAG
rnacentral:rRNA from 1 species